CUGAGUGAGGGCCCCUCGGGGUCCAACCUCCCACCCGUGUUUAACGUACCUUGUUGCUUCGGCGGGCCCGCCUCACGGCCGCCGGGGGGCAUCCGCCCCCGGGCCCGCGCCCGCCGAAGCCACCUGUGAACGCUGUCUGAAGUAUGCAGUCUGAGACAAUUAUUAAAUUAAUUAAAACUUUCAACAACGGAUCUCUUGGUUCCGGCAUCGAUGAAGAACGCAGCGAAAUGCGAUAACUAAUGUGAAUUGCAGAAUUCAGUGAAUCAUCGAGUCUUUGAACGCACAUUGCGCCCUCUGGUAUUCCGGAGGGCAUGCCUGUCCGAGCGUCAUUGCUGCCCUCCAGCCCGGCUGGUGUGUUGGGCCCCGCCCCCCUUCCCGGGGGGGGCGGGCCCGAAAGGCAGCGGCGGCACCGCGUCCGGUCCUCGAGCGUAUGGGGCUUUGUCACCCGCUCUUGCAGGCCCGGCCGGCGCCAGCCGACCCCCUCAAUCUAUUUUUUCAGGUUGACCUCGGAUCAGGUAGGGAUACCCGCUGAACUUAAGCAU
rnacentral:misc_RNA from 1 species